AACGAACGUUAGCGGCGCGCCUAACACAUGCAAGUCGAACGCGACAGGGGCAACUCUGUUGAGUGGCGCACGGGUGAGUAACACGUAGGUAAUCUCCCCCCGAGUGGUGGAUAACCUUCCGAAAGGAGGGCUAAUACAGCAUAAGACCACGGCUUCGAAAGGAGCUGAGGUCAAAGCGGAGGAUCGCAAGACUUCGCGCUUGGGGAUGAGCCUGCGGCCCAUCAGGUAGUUGGCGGGGUAACAGCCCACCAAGCCUAAGACGGGUAGCUGGUCGGGGAGGAUGAUCAGCCAACCUGGAACUGAGACACGGUCCAGACUCCUACGGGAGGCAGCAGUGGGGAAUCUUGCGCAAUGGACGAAAGUCUGACGCAGCGACGCCGCGUGGGUGAUGAAGGCCUUCGGGUUGUAAAGCCCUGUGGGGAGGGACGAAUAAGUUUCAGCUAAUACCUGAAGCGAUGACGGUACCUCCUUAGCAAGCACCGGCUAACUCUGUGCCAGCCGCCGCCGUAA
rnacentral:rRNA from 1 species